rnacentral:lncRNA from 10 species
GGGUGAGGGGCUGCUGGCGUGGAGGCAGCUGCCUGCUCAGCCCAGCCCAGCUGCAUUUUCUCCUCUUUCACCCUGGUGAGAACCAGCCUUCCUUCGGUUCUGCCUGAGGACCCUGUAGGUGCUGAAAAUGGAAUACAGCUGGCAGGUAGUGGGCGGACAGUGAAAACGUGCCCUGAUAUUAUUCUGAGAAAAAAAAAGAGCUUUAUUGCUUCUUGUCAGACUAUACUAUGUUUUAGGAAGAGUUGGGUUCCCCCAAAGAGAAGGUGCAGGGUGCUGGGAGCAGGAUCCUCAGUUUGUAAGAACGCACUCACUGCUCCAAGGCAGCCAACAAAAAAUUUUUAAAAAGGGUGAUUGAAGGUUCAACUUUUGACAUGUAAAAUCCAGUCAUAGCUUGGGUUUCCCGGAAGCAGUCCCUGAGACAGAGAUUUUAGUGCAACAGUUUAUUUGGGAGGCGAUCCUGGGAAACACCAGAAGGGAAGUGGAAAAUUGAAAUGUCGAAGGAAGCCAAUAAAAUAUGCGUUAUUGAGCAGAUGGCCCCUGUGACCAACUAGGCUCAGUAUCUCUGGGGAACCCCCAGAGACAGUGUAGAGUAAAUUCCAGAAUUAUGCCAUCCAAGGGAAAAGGGAGCUGAAUCAUUCAUCUCUCAGCUGUUGCAAGCUAUUGGUGGAGGGAUUUUCCCAAGAGGCAUUACCUCCCAGGCUUGUCCUCACUUUGCCUGUGUGGCCUCCAGUGGUCAGACAGAACCCAAAGGAAAAGAGCCAGGGUGCGGAUUGGCAGAAGCUAUUCUGGCCCAUGUGCAGAGCAUCAAGAAUGUGUGCUGCAAAAGAGUCUCUCUCUGUCACCCAGGCUGGAGUGCAGUGGCGCCAUCUCGGCUCACUGCAAGCUCCGCCUCCCGGGUUCAUGCCAUUCUCCUGCCUCAGCCUCCCGAGUAGCUGGGACUACAGGCGUCCGCCACCACGCCCAGGGAGAAGAGAAAAAAGUGCAUGAAGUAAAGAAAAAGCAGGGAAUGAGAGAAAAAAAUGGAGGAGUGAGUGCCACAGCCCAGUCAGUAAGUGCUACAUAUUUAGAAAUUAUUACAGGAACUUUUUCUGGACAGACAAGAACCUAAGUCUGAACAUCUAAAAGGCUCACAAAGAAUCAAGCAAAUUUAUUGAAAGAGACCAAUACUUAUUAGACCUAUCUUCGUGAACUGAAGAUCGAGAAAAAAAUUCCAAGAGGCAUUUGGACAGAAAAGCAUGUUGACUCCACAGGAACAAAAAUCAAACUGCAUUCAAAAUUCUCCUCUGCAAUGUCUAAUAGCAGGAGAAAUAAAAUAGUACCAACAGAGCUUCAAGGGAAAAAGACUGCAUUCUAAGAAUCCUAUAUUUAGGAAGUUGUUCAAGUGAAAGGGUAAUGGAAGAAAUGUUCUUAGAUGUGCAACUCACUGUUAUAACCUUUUAAACAAAGCCCUCGAAGACCUGAUUUAACUGACAGUGAAUGAAUCUAAAUACAGAGCUGUGGGAUGUGAGAGUCACAUCAGUGACCACUGAAACAAGUAUAAAGAAAAUUAAGUCUAGAUGAUUGUUUUACAUAUAAUUAUAAAACAGAAUAAAAGUGUAAAACGCAACUCUUGGAAGAGGAUAUUUAUAGUAUAAAAAUGGCCUAAUUAUAAUAAUUUGAACCUAAUGUUUUGCCGCACAAAAAUAGAAAUGAAGGAGAUAGAAUGGUAGGAGAAAACACUUAUUUCCUCAUUAUUCCCAAGAGGGAUAUUAUUUAACUCUUGAUAAAGAUAACUGGAAAUACAAACAGGAUGUAUCCUUUCUAAAUUACUAAAAAAAAAAAAAAACAAAAAAAACAAAGAAAAUAAAUUCCAUGUAACAAUCAUACUUUAUGUAACACACUGAAGUUUUUGGUCUUUAAUCUUCUUAUCUCCAGAGAUUGCUGUGACUCCUCGUCCACUCUGUAUCAUAGCAUCACCUCCAGUAUCAUUAAUGCAAGGCACCCCAUUUCUGACCACAGCUUCCUUCUUUUCCUUCUUGGCUUUAUUUUUAUUUCUUUAUUUAUUUUUGAGACGGAGCCUCGCUCUGUUGGCCCAGGUUAGAGUGCAGUGCCAUGAUCUCAGCUCACUGAAACCUCCACCUCUCAGGUUCAAGCAAUUCUCCAGCCUCAGCCUCCUGAAUAGCUAGGAUUACAGGCACCUGCCACCAUGCCUGGCUAAUUUUAGUAUUUUUAGUAGAGACAGGGUUUUGCCACGUUGGCCAGGUUGGUCUUGAACUCCUGACCUCAGAUGACCUGCCUGCCUUAGCCUCCCAAAGUGCUGGGAUUACAGACAUGAGCCACUGAGCCUGGCCACGUUCUUGGCUUUUUAAUUGCAACCAUUGAAAUAGAUCUUGAUUUCACUGUGACCUCUAGCUUCUUUAUCUUCAAUUUGCCCCAUCCUUCAGCCGUCCCCUUUCUUUAGUUUUCUACCUGUCCAGGUUAGAUUUCAGGGUCCAUUGUUUCAGCGAUAGUACUGCCAAAAUCCUAAACUCCCUCGCCCCUUUGGGCUUUUGUCAGACCCCAUCUGGCCGAAGACCAUUCCCAGAGCAACCCACACUGUGUGCUGUCUCUCUUCUUGUAUUUAAGCAGCUGGAGAAAAACACAACAGAGCAGAUUGUACCAUCAUAUAUUCAUGAGCAUCCAUUCUGAAUGGGCACCACAGUGCCAGAAUCCUUCAGAUAUCUCUGGUCAAUCUAUAGUCCAGCAAUCCACAAUGACCAUUCCAGAUCUUCUCUAGCUUCCUUAAAUGCCCAACUUUCCUACCCAUCAACGGAUGCCUUUAUUUCAUAUUUCACAGAGAUAAUAGACACUGUCACAUAAGGCCACUCCCCCCACUCCACACCCCCAAAUCCUGCUACCAAACUCACUAACAUAACAGCAUCUGUACCCAUCUGGUCCUCCUUCCUGCCUAUUCCAUAGAGGAGCUGUUUUUCUUUCUGAAAGAGAUCAAUUCCUCACAUGUGCUUUAGACCCCAUCUCCUUUCUCCUUCGCAGGAAUCUUAUAAUUUAGGUGGUUCUGUAUCUCCUGAAUAUCCAAUCUCUUUUCAACCUCAUCAAUUGCUUCAAAUUGUAAACAUUAAGCAAAUUAUAUUCAGCUUUCAAAAAAAAAGGGAGGAAAUCCUGUCAUUUGGGACAACAUGGAUGAAACUAGAGGACGUUAUGGAAAAUGAAAUAAAGCAGACAUGGAAAGAAAAAUACUACAUGAUCUGACUUACAUGUGGAGUGUGAAAAAGAACUCAGAAGCAGGAAGUAGAAUGGUGGUUACCAGGGGUCUUAAGGGGUUGGAGGGUUGGGAAGAUGUUGGUCAAAGGACACAACAUUUCAGGAGGAAUAAGUUCAAGAGAGCUAUUGUUUCACACGGGAACUAUGGUUAAUAACAAUGUAUUGCAUUCUUGGAAAUUGCCAAGAGAGUAGAUUUUAAGCGUUCUCACAACAAAAAUGAUUAGUAUGUGAGGUAAUGCAUAUGUUACUCAGCUUAAUGUAGCCAUUCCACAGUAUGUACAAGUUUCAAAGCAACAUGUUGUAUAUAAUAAAUACAUAUAACUUUGGCAAUCAAAUCAAAUAAAUAAAAGAAAAUAAAAAUAAAUGGAGAGAUAUUAUAAAAAUUCUACUGCAUUAAUAGUCACUAAUUCCAGUGCUUUGUAUUCCUUUGUGGAAAGGUUUUCCAAUCGUGUGGCACUAUUGACUUUUUUUUUUUUUUUGGUGACGGAGUCUCGCUCUGUCACUCAGGCUGGAGUGCCGUAGCAUGAUCUCAGCUCAUUGCCAUCUCUGCCUCCCCGGGUUCAAGCCAUUCUCCUGUGUCAGCCUCCUGAG